UACAAGUAAAAAUACAUCAGUAUAGCUCUUUAAUCAUACCGGUUGUUUAUUCCAUAUUUAACAGCAAUGACUAUGAUAGGUGGUAAAUGAUAUUGCAGUACUUGACAUGGAAGUAGGCCGGGUCAUCUCAUAACUAAAAAAGGCAGGCACAUAGUAAUGGAAAUAUUCAUAAAAUCAACAUUCAUUAAUUGGUAGGAUUGUCUUUCCUCUUGAUAACGUCCUGAAGCUUUUUGGGACUGAUACUGCAAGAUUUUGUAAUUUAUGAGGCUCAAUACGAUUCCACAAUGCAUGGAUCUCCCUCUCAAGCUUUGACAUCCAGUACAUGACCUUCCACUGGAGAGCCUUCUUAACGAUUUGCCUAGCCACUCCUCAAUAAAUUGUACUUCAGUCACAAAACCAUUGGAUUACUGAUUUGGCUGUAUGAGGCUUUGCCCCAUCUUGCUGAAAGAUGGUAGCUAUAGUGUCUUCAAAAGCCUGGGGUAAAACACACAGCAACUCCAGUAAUUAUACUGGUUCACCCUUUCCUUGUGAGACACAUUAAGGUGGGCCUUGCUGUAACCAACCAAUGCUCCCCCACAUCAUCAAUGGAUCUGGGUGUUUUAUAGUAGCACAAGUGUAGCGGGCAUCCAGUAGAUCACUACUGUGAUGGCGAUAAACAUUACAAUUUCUAUUGCAUGUCACCAUAAAGGUGCUUUCAUCAGACCACAAUACAAUCAGCCAGUUCUCAUCUCACACUCCAUACUUCCUGGUAAACUGGACCCUAUUCACUUUGAGGAGAGGCUUCUUUAUUGGGUAGUGAUUAUGGUAGGCAAGCUCAGCAGUGAGGCGGGAUACUGUAUAAACAAAGACCUCUUCCAGCAACCUAAGGUUCUCUUCCUUUAUUUUUCUCGCUGUCAGGACAGGAUUAGUCUUUAGUUGUUGUUUCACUAUGUUUCUACACCACUUGUCUUUUAUUGGGCACUGGCCUCUCGUGGGUGGGAUAAUUCUGACUGCCGUGCUAGUAGGGCUUGGCAACCCAACGCCACAUAGAACACUCACUCACACCAGGUUGUGCCAUGAUAUCUUUCAUUUACAGGCCAGAUUCUUUUAAAGCAAUGAUCUGAGCAAUCUUGCCCUGCUCUAAAUGUGUGUUCUUGCCCAUAUUAACAACACAUGGCCACUCAAAACACUAUAUGGUGGAUAGAAUCCAGGGGCGCUUCACGGAUGACACGCGGUUAAAACCUCACACACACACACACACACAGUCAACCUGAGGGCUUCCAAGAUAUUUAUUGUGGCGGCAAAAGGAAGCUCCGCCCCCUAGCUACAUGUACCACUGGCCAGCUGACUUGUCCCAAAAGUAUCAUACCAAUUUCAAUCGAUUCUGUUUUUGCCAAAUUGUAGAUCAAGUGGCUAGGACCCGGCCUACUCCUUCGUCAAGUCCUGUGUGUUUCAUAUGUGUGUAUGUUAACUCAUAAUCAAAACUUCCACAAUAGGGAGAAAUGAGUUAAUAAAAGUUUGUGGGAGGUCUUUGCUGACAAGUGCUUAAGUAAAAAAAGUAUUGGUGGAUAUCUGUAAACUCAUUGACGUUUGACCUUGGGCAUAUAUAGCUAGCAACAAGAAAAGCCUAUAGAACAACUUCACAGCUAUUUUACAAGACAUAAUGAUCUUGAAUGAAUGAUGAUAAUACAUAGAUUUAAGGGGAUGGAAUAUCACACUUGUGAAUAUAAACUUGUCAGUAAACCCACAGUUGUAGAUUUGAAGUAUUUAUUCUGAUACUUCAAGUCUACAACUGUGGGUUUACUGACAGAUUUAAAAAAAUACUUGUAUCUGUAAAAAGAACAGGGAUUUAAACAUCAUUGCAGAAACAGAAUUACAUUCAGCAUGUAAUUCUGUUUGGUAUGUGCCUGUUAAAUAAAGUCUUUUCACCACAGGGGUGGUGUCAUAUCUUUUCAUGAUCAUGGUAGAGGCUCCUUAAUACCUUCCUAGGAAGGCAAGGUUUUCUGAUGCUUUUGGAACACUUGCAACCUUCUACACUCUCUGGGGAGCAGGUAACAGUGUGAGAGUCACUCAGGUGACAGACCAUUCUCAUAUUCUCUCUCUCUCUCUCUCUCUCUCUCUCUCUCUCUCUCUCUCUCUCUCUCUCUCUCUCUCUCUCUCUGUUUUAAAAUAACUCACCCAGAGUUGACUCGCACAUUGUUGCCUAUUUCCCAUAGAGUGUAAAAGGUUGUCAGGUAGUGUUCCCAAAAUAUCAGAACAUCUUACCUUCCUGGGAAGAUAGUAAUAAGCAUUUACUAUAUACUGUGGAAAGAAAUUACUUGGUCAUAUGGUGUCAAGACUUUCCGUGCCUACUGUAGCAUUUGAAUUAUAUUAAAAUGAUGUGUCAUCAACUUCAAGCUUACAGUAGAGGUGCAUGAUUCAAGGUUUAGUGAAGAAUAUUAGGUUGCUUUCACAAUCUUUUCCUCUUUCAGGUCACCACAGAGGUCACGGCGGUCUCAGAGCAGAGAUUCUCACAAAAGGCGAAGCAGGAGUAGAUCUCGGUCACGCAGCUGAUCUCAUCAAUGCAGUAGUAAAACGAGGGGAGCAGAUGCUUGACCUAAAGCAGGGCAAAGAGAAAAGACUAUCCUCAGGCAGUGAAUAGUGGCAUAUUGUCUCAAAGUUGAGGCAAAAAGUGAAUGAGUAAAAAAAUAAAGGCAGAGUCCAUAUAAGGAAGCAAACCAGGACCUCAGCUACAGCAAACUGGCCCCUCAACACCACCAAGAAGAGCAUUGGGUGGUAAGAAAAGUGUUGUUGGAGAGUGAGGAGUGAAGCACCACACCGUUUGGCCAGACAACUGCGAUGAUUCUUCGGAACUGCGAUGAUCAUCUAUACAGAACACCGGGUUUUAACAUGCUUCCGCAUGGAAAUGCUCGUCUACAGAAAUUACAUGUGUGAUACUGGCUGUAUAUGCCUUCCUAACAUGCAAAGCUGAAACAUGCAAAUUAUAAAGUUUUGAAGAUAUAGUAAUGUCUUCAAUAGUACACUUAAAAGUGAUUUGAUUUAAGUUUGUACCUGUACACAUGUUUUAUAUAUAUGGUCUAAGCAAAUGUGGUAUACCAGACUAAUGACAGUACAGUACAUAUUUAUGUAAAAAAAAAAAUAAAUAAAAAAAGAAUAAAAAAAAUAAAAAUAGGGAAAAAUACCCCUAUCUAUUGCAAGUGUGACUGCUCACUGAUGUGAGUUUUUUCUAUUAUUUUAACAUGGGUUUGUUAAUAUUUCUGCACCUGUAUAUAGUAGAAAAUAAAAUCUGGGCAGGAUUCAGAUUUGGGAUAAAAAUUUGUAUAAUGCAGCAAUUCAAAAAAAUUCUGCAGUGUACAGGAUCUUGUUUCUUCAUCCCAGACUAUGAGUACAAAAUUUGUACAUUAUCAUUUGUAAAGCUCCCAGUUGUGUUGGGCAAUAUAUUUAAGGCAGAUGUAUUAGUUUCAAUCAUAUUUCCAGUAAUGAAGAAUGUAAACACAGUGAUUGGAGCAACUUAGUAUUUGAUGUUAUAAAACUAAUGAUUUUAUGUACUAGGACUGAUCAGUUGUCAUUGUUUUAUUUCUGGGUGACUUUAUAACCAAGUCAAUAAAAAAUAAAAAUAAUAAAAAAAAUUUCUAUACAUUUUUUAAGUUACAUUAUGAAUACUACAAAAUAUCAUAGCUCUGAAAAAACGACGAUGCGGUUAGGAAAUUUAAUUUAGAGCUUUAUUACUAGUAAUAAUAUUAAUUGACUAUUGUAGUGGAUAAUUUUUUGUGCUAGAUCACGAUUUCAGCUGUUAAGAUGAUGGUUUUGCCAUGUAUGAUUGAGCUGUCCUGUAAGCCACUAUUUAAGGGUGGUGUUGAUGCUACUCAUGCUGGGUGUAACUGGUUAUAAUUGGCUGACACUGGUAGCUGCUUGUUUCACUGGGGAGUGCUUAAAGUUCUUCUGAUUGGACACAAGUUUCAGUGAAAACUCUGAUGAAUAAUGCCUCUAUUUUAGAGAGGCAUUGCACAUCUCUGCAUGUGUCAAUUAUUUAAAUACGGGAUCCUCACAAUUCGACGGGGUUAGGGCGGUUUUUCAUCAGUCAAAUCAGCAUUUAUUAAGUCGUGAAGCAAUUUUUCCCAUAAAAUACUUAAGAAUUAAGGGGGAUAGGGACCAACCUCCAGCCUAGACCCCCUCAAAACAUCACUAUAACCUCUAAAAAACACUAAUUUUAUAACUUAAACCAAAUCAGAACUAUUAAAGGCUUCAUUUAUA